rnacentral:lncRNA from 13 species
CCCAGAUAGCACUGACCGUCUCAGCUAUUGGCAACUAUAAUCAAGGGCGAGAGAGGGAGAGAGAGAGAGGAUAGUUACACCUGCUUGGCCUAUCAUUUUAAAGCCCUGUGCUGGGCUCCAGAGGGGCGCGCCACCGGGGUGGAGCCGCUGCUGAAGUUCACCUGAUACAACUUUGAUCUUCACCAGCGGGGGUGGAGAUGAUUUUAUUUAAGGUGUCUCAGCAUCUCCGUGACAUUGCGCUGUGUGAGGUUUAGUGGCUGCCCUUGUGCCCGCCGUCUGGGCCUGUGGUGGGGGUGUGGGAGGAUCGAUAGCAUGGCAGCUCCACUGUCAGACAGAGGUGAAGUUAAGCCAGGACAGAGAGAAGGGGAGAGAUAGAAGAGGCUCCUAAAGAUAUCUGAGUAGGUAUUAUCCAUGACACCUAGGCUCUGA